ACUACAUUUGCAUGUUUAGGCACUCGCUAAGCUAAUAGAUAACCAGGACAGGCACUGAACCCAUAAACAACAAGACACAGCUUCUUCCUUCAAAGAGGAGUACAGUGAGUACACAGGGACAGUGUGACCUACUAAGAAAAGGUGUGGACUUCGGAGUCAUAGUCCAAAGUCUUAAUCCUGUUUGCUGCCAAACACCUCUCUGAGCUCUGCUUUUUCACCUGGAAAAUCAAGAUGCCAGAGACAGAGGAAUCCACCUGAAAUGCAGAUGUGAUCCUGGGACCUUCUCUCUGUCUGCCCACUGCCCACUCCCAAGAGGAAACUUCUGUUUCUCAGCCUUGCUUUCAGGGCCCUCUGAGACCUGGUCUUCCACCUUCUUGGCCCGGAAAACCCAAAACCAAACCACAUAAUGAGUCUUGUGAGCAAGCCACUACCUCUGAGCAUUAGACCCUGUACUUCAAACAACACAGCAGACGUGGGAAGAGUCCUUUGAUUUGUAAUGCUGAGGCAUGUUCUGUACCCUAGCUGGAAUGAGGCUGAGAAAGCAAGGAUACGGCAAUCUAGAAUUUGAGAGUGGGAAGUGGGCUCUGGCCUCUCACAGGGCAGGAAUUCCCUAGAUGCAGAAAGACACUCAGAGAGUUGGCGUCCGAUGAAGUCCACUGCAGAACUGUUACAGGAGCUUCAACCAACUCAGCCACCCACGUGGAUGACACUCCCUGGGGAAAAGAGGAGAACUUGAACAAAGCUCAAAGGGGGUGCCCAACUAACUCUGCAACACUUGGGGAUUUAGGCAAAAGUGAAAGUUCUCCGUUUCAGCUGGCAGCAGACUGCUGCUCGGUGGGUCUCCUGUUCAGCGGGGCAGGGAGCCCUACGGGAAGUCCUCCAGCUGGCGUCUGUGUGAGAGCUUGGCUCAAGUGGCACCGAGUGUCUCACCUCUGUUCAUGGAAAGGCUACUGCGGAGCUGUCGCUACAAGCAGGAUUCUGCUGUUGGCAAAGCAGGG
ensembl:lncRNA